AAGAAGCCCACGUUAGAACUGCUAACUCCAACACCUGAGCC
rnacentral:tRNA from 2 species